UCACACGUUCGUGACAGCUCCAGCUGUUACAUAGUAGGAGGCGCUUAAAAAUCCACUUUUGCUCCCUCAAUUUUUUGUGAAAGUCUUUUUUCCUUUCUAAACUCGAAAGUCGGACAAAUCAUCUCUUUCAGCAUUUGAAACCAUAUGUUUUACCUCCUUGGCUUGGUUAUAAGUGGUUUUGAAGGUGGUUUUGUUUUUUCUUUUUUAUUUAUCUCGACCGAAUCUUUAAAAAAAUCAUAAUAAAUCACAAAAAAUCAUAAAAUAAAAAAUCAAACUUUUUGGACUCAACAUGAGUAUAUCUACAUAGUGAAUAUAUAAUAUCGUAUGCUUUAGUAUAAAGUUUUUGCUGUAGAUUUUCUAUAACUAACUGAAAAUAAUUUAUAACUCCAAUUUCUAUAGUCCAAUUGUGGUGAAAUUCUUAUGGUGGCCUAAUUUUUGUAUGCCUA
rnacentral:lncRNA from 1 species